UGCAGUCGACGAUGAUCCCAGCUUGCUGGGGGAUUAGUGGCGAACGGGUGAGUAACACGUGAGUAACCUGCCCUUAACUCUGGGAUAAGCCUGGGAAACUGGGUCUAAUACCGGAUAUGACUCCUCAUCGCAUGGUGGGGGGUGGAAAGCUUUUUGUGGUUUUGGAUGGACUCGCGGCCUAUCAGCUUGUUGGUGAGGUAAUGGCUCACCAAGGCGACGACGGGUAGCCGGCCUGAGAGGGUGACCGGCCACACUGGGACUGAGACACGGCCCAGACUCCUACGGGAGGCAGCAGUGGGGAAUAUUGCACAAUGGGCGAAAGCCUGAUGCAGCGACGCCGCGUGAGGGAUGACGGCCUUCGGGUUGUAAACCUCUUUCAGUAGGGAAGAAGCGAAAGUGACGGUACCUGCAGAAGAAGCGCCGGCUAACUACGUGCCAGCAGCCGCGGUAAUACGUAGGGCGCAAGCGUUAUCCGGAAUUAUUGGGCGUAAAGAGCUCGUAGGCGGUUUGUCGCGUCUGCCGUGAAAGUCCGGGGCUCAACUCCGGAUCUGCGGUGGGUACGGGCAGACUAGAGUGAUGUAGGGGAGACUGGAAUUCCUGGUGUAGCGGUGAAAUGCGCAGAUAUCAGGAGGAACACCGAUGGCGAAGGCAGGUCUCUGGGCAUUAACUGACGCUGAGGAGCGAAAGCAUGGGGAGCGAACAGGAUUAGAUACCCUGGUAGUCCAUGCCGUAAACGUUGGGCACUAGGUGUGGGGGACAUUCCACGUUUUCCGCGCCGUAGCUAACGCAUUAAGUGCCCCGCCUGGGGAGUACGGCCGCAAGGCUAAAACUCAAAGGAAUUGAC
rnacentral:rRNA from 1 species